rnacentral:snRNA from 1 species
AGAUGUGAGGGAGAUCUGCGUGUGACAGCUCUCACUCCAUUGAUUUCCAUUUGGCUGAUCUGGCUGGCUAGGCUGAUGUCACUUUCCUCCCUCGUUGCUCCCUCAGUGCCACCCUCCUGAAGUUGCAUGUUUGGUGGAAGAGAAUGACCUUCCCUGAUUGAGAAGAAGGACCUUUCUUCUAUCAACAAUAUGUGAUUAGCUGGGCUCCAUGUUAGAACCACCAAAUAAGCUCACAAGAGAGCUCGGAGGGACCUAACUGGAGUUUAUUCACGUUGUCUUUUCCAAUAGUGUUAGGGCCCAAAGAAUAAC